GCCGGAGUGGUGGAAUAGGUAGACACAAGGGACUUAAAAUCCCUCGGGAUUAAUCCUGUACCGGUUCAAGUCCGGUCUCUGGUACCA
rnacentral:tRNA from 1 species